UGCAAACGUAAUCAGCAUCAAACAUGGGUAUCCCAGGCAACACCAACACAAACACUCAUCAGGGAUAGCCCAGUCCAGCUCAAUAUAGCGCCGCUUUUCAUGCCAGAGGACACCUUUUCUUUGCUCAGAAUAAAAUCUUGUUUUACUCAUGGAUAAUCUGUGUUAACUCAUGCGACCCCCAGAUGAGUUCAGGAUCACACCAUGUAAUCUGUCCCAUCUCAAAGCAUACAUUUGAGGAACUGUCUGGGACUCCUCUUCCGCACAGGGCAUCAAUUUUUCCAGACAGCUGAAAAUUAAUAGCUACUAUGAUUCAAGCGAGUAAUUCUUGUGAAACCAGCUCCGGGGAUGUUGCCUAGCAAAACAAAUUCUGUCAGCAUAGCCUCGUGCUCUGACGUGAUACCUAAUACGUGAGACUAUGUAUAAAAACCAGGAAGCAAUCCAAGGGAAACGGUACAUUUUAGCUCUGCUACAGGUCAUAUACAGAAUACAGUGAUGCAGAAAACCAUUCCUGGCUGCUUUUUCCAGCAAAUGUAUUCUUCCCUAACUGGCAUUUCCAUGGAGAGAGAUCACAUGAAAGAUCUCAGGCGAUACCUGGCACUGAAAUACAUCCAAUACCUUGUCCUGUCUUCUUCAAAUACGGUCAGCACUUUCCUGGGCCUGCUGGGCAGUCUGUACGCGAUAAUCAUCCUGCAGUCUACAAAGGUUUCAUCCAAGUCCACCACGGUUCUAAUUUCAAGCCUAGCGAAGGCAGACAUCCUGGUUGCUGCUAGCGUUGUUACGGAGAUGGUCGUACAGACCUUUGACAUUAAUAUCGCGUCUACAGCGUUCACACCAGCCCUGCUGCAGAACCUCCUCGCUGCAAACACACACAUCAGCUGCUUGCUGCUAAGCUGUGUUGCCUUCGAGGCGUACUUGAUAACCUUUUUCCCCACGGAGUCUCGACAGUUACGGACGGUGAGAAACGCCAGGCUGAUGUCCAGCACCAUCUGGAUCCUGGUGAUGGCAGAGUGCGCCCUGUUCCAGGCAGAUGACCUCCUGCAGGCCAGCAGCACUGCUGCUCCCACCCACAGCCCUUACGUUGUGUUGUUCCACUUCUCCAGCACGGCCGCAGCCCUGCUCAGGUCCCUCAGUUACCUCCUGGGGAUUCUUUUAAGGAUUGUCAAUGUAUACAUCUACUACAAAAUAUUUUUUAGCAUGUCCAACAGAUCUACACUAAAAAAAAGCAGCGCCCGUUCCCCGUGGAAGCAGUGACACCAAAGAGGAGAUACUUCAGCACAGUUUGAAACUACUGGUUUGAAAACUGUUCUACAACCAAGCUCGUUUUGGCACAGCACGGCGUUUAAACCUCCCUGGUUUAUGAUGGUAUUUAGCUUUGGAUGUUGAGAGGAGCUUGGAGGGGUCGAGGAGCCCCUUGGGACUGGGACACGAGCGCUGGGCUGUGGGUGCUCAGGCUGACUGACAGCCUUAGAGCGCCCCAGGCUUGCUUUGAUAGUUCUCCACGUAGAGUUCGUUCGUUGUUCAGGUGAAACAAAUGGCAUGUCACGAAUGGCUGUAAAAACUAAAGCAACGUAAACAUUUGUUAUAUAAAAAGGGUGCUUAGAGGCUUACUCAGGGACCUGUUGAGCCAAGACCUAUAGGGUUGUCUACUAAAGAGAUGAUCUAUGUCCUAAAAUAUCUCUAAUUCAGGUGACUCACCAGUUAGGAUGGAGAACGGGUAGGAUUGAGAGAGAAGAUGAGGACCAAGCUGACCUAGCCCAGCUGGGCUUGUCCCACAGCCCCACCACGAGAGUCCCCAGGACAGAGCAGGGCUGAGCGGCCACACCUCACUGCAGACUUGGAGCUAUUUUUGGGAGGUGGCUACAACACAGAAAUAAACAGCUUCUCUCACAUUCAGAAAUAAACAGGACAUGGAAAGUCAGAAUGCAGCUAUUUGCUGCACCCCUGUGAGAGGGGAGAGGGUUUGAGAAAGCCCUUCUGCUGAAGGCUCCAUGUGCUGUACCCAGGAGGGUCUGUGAUAUCAGUGGCUGUGGUUUCGGAGGCAGAGAGGGAUGCCCUGGCCUUAGCAGAGCUGCUCCAGCUCCCUCGGUGGCGGUGCAGAAAACCAGGGCCAUGCAUGUCCCUCAGUGGUGCUCAAGUGUAUGUAUAACAGAGCUGUUACCCAGGUGGUGAUUCCUGGGGUCUCCUCAAAACACUAAUAGCUUAUCAGCAGAACAUAAGGUACUCCAGAUACCUCAGAUGCUCCCCAAUGCACAAGUGGACGUAGGUACUUCCAGUUACUCUCGCGCUCUUACAUGGGAGGUGCCCUCCAACUUCAAUUAAAGACUGGGCUUUGGAGAGACUGAACUUCUGUGAUAAGUUCUGCAACCCACAGAUCAUAAAAGGUGGAAAGAAAAGUGAAAUAAGACAAACCCCCAUGUAUUAAUAACCAAGCCACUACGUACAGCCUCCCUCUGUCAUGCUUCCAGAACUUCAGUAUACCUUGCCAGCUUGAACACAGCAACAAGCCUCUGCCUACUUGGGAAGAAGAAAGAUGUGGGGCACAAAACCCAAGCAUGAUGAAUUUCAGCUCUAACCCUCUCUCCUUCAGCCUGCAGUAGGUCCUCACACUCAAACUGGUACCAGCGAAUGCCUGACGUGCCCUGCUGGCAGCGGUUGCCUGGCACUUAGACUAUUGGAGCUGAAAGUUGGAGCUGUGACCACUUUCCUGAGCGGUCUGCAAGCCAAGGUGGGCAGAGGCACAGGCGCUAUCAGUUGAAGAUCAGGCUUCACAAACCCAAGGCAAACAGCAAGUGCAGAGUUUCCUGCUCUUUGCUCGGCUCACCAACCAGUUUCUAAAUGUCACAAUCACACUUUUUGCAACUGGUCUCAAAAAUGCUUUUUCCUCCUUCUCUAAGAUGAACUUGACUGGAAGGGAACACCCAGAAAAGGGGCAGUGAAACUGGGUGCACCCGCCGUGCUGCAGGCAGGAGGCAGCCGGCAGCGAGAGGACCAUCUCUCCUCGGGACUGUCUGCAGGUUUUAACACCUCAGAUAAAGUGAGCAGCGUCUUAGUGAGAGGCAAAUAUCCCAGGCUGAGAAGUGUGCAUCUCGCAUCGGGAUCUCAGAGAUCGCUCAAGGGAGUCUUUUCUGACACGGACUCCAACAAUAAUGUUUUUUACAUGACUGUAUGCAGUUUAAUAUCUCCAGAGUUGUUUUAGAGAUCCUUCCUGCUUCUUUUCCUCCUUCUCUUUAUGUUCCUUCUUGAUCUUUGCUACCAUAUCUAAGAACAGGCUGCACCUUGGCUUCUACAUCAAACCCCAAGCACUAAUAAUGCAGCUGUACUUGUCUGGCUCUAAGAUUAAAGUGCUGAGCUCUUACUGCUGCUGAAAUCUUUAAAAAUAUCCCAAUCCCUCUGGCUGCUAUAACAAAAAACUAUGAAUAUUAUUAUUAUUUGAGUUCACAGAAUUUAUCUGUGUAUGUGCAGGUAUUUAUGAUGAAUGUUGGCAGUGCCAGAGAUGCUGCAGACAGUGCAGGGUCAGAAGUGAGUGACGAGUGUUUGCCACUGCUUCUGAGAAGACCGAAAAGAACCACCACUGAGGGAUGGGUUCUUAGAAAAAGAAGAACAGAAAGGUAAUCAAGUUCAUAAAAAAACUAAUGAUGCAAUCCCUUAAAUUCGGAUGCUGCCCAGCAGAGCUGAUUCCUGCUGCGAGAAGGAUGUCUCCAGAAUUUGGUGCCCUGAGAAAACUGUUCUUAUUCUGGCAGCUUCAAAUGCCAUUUUCAGAGGAGACGAAAUGUUACUUGAAGUACUGUAAUUAAUAAAUUUUGUUUUGUUAAAGAGUGUGUUAUUUAUGACGAACAUGUGCUCUUCCUGAGGAUCUGCUUUUUGGCUCCUCCUAUGGAAGCCCAUGCAGAAGGCUGAGUGUCCACAAGUGGACUGGAACUCUCUUUAGGACACAAGGCAGCCAGGAUUUUUUAUCUUUGAAUUCACCACUCAGGAUCAUAAAAUCUUGGAAUCAUUGAGGUUGGAAAAGCCCUCCGAGCUCAUCCAGUCCAACCAUCAGCCCAGCCCCACCGUGCCUGCUAAAGCAUGUCCUGAAGGGCCACACGGUUUUUGAAGCCCGUGGGGGAUGGAGACUCCAGUCCUGCCCUGGGCAGCCUCUGCCAGGGCUUCACCACCCUUUAAAGACAUUUUUCCCAAUGUCCAAUCUAAACAUACCCUGGUGCGAUCUGAGGCCAUUUCUUCUCAUCCUAUCAUUUGUUACUUGGGAGAAGAGAUCAACUCUGGGUGCUUCCCGACCCUCGCAGGAAAUCAUUUCUCCCUCAAUCUCCCCUCUUUCAGCUGAAAACCGUUCCCCGCGUCCUCCCCUGCACCAAAUGGCUGAGAGACGCUGCUGUAGCCUUGUAUCUCCUGUCCUACAUCUAAGCAGGAGAAAGCAAACUGGUUUUUGCUGUUGAACGUUUACCAGAAGCCUGACCCCAUCACACCCACUUCUGAUCACCUUCUCAAACAGAAAGGAAAUGAACCUUCCACAGGAUGAUAAAAAUGAUAAAUAGAAAGCAUUUUCUUUCCCCUGUCAGCAGAAAGCUACCAGGCAGUUUGAAGCUCCAGGAUUUACCCAUAGUUUCAGUGUGGAGCUCAUGUUUGGUGCGGAGUGGAGACCCUCUUCCCCAGGGCUGAAAACAUGCUUUGUGCAGCGAGGGAUUGAAAUCAGUCCCAGUGAGACUGAGGAGGCUUUGGCUUCUCCUUGUGCUGCAGAACUUUAUGCACACAACAGCUCACCCCUGAGCAUGACCCACCGCCAGUGCUCCUCCUGCCAGCAGGUGGGUUUUCUGGGCCAUGAACUGGCUGGAAGGGACGAUGCUCUGCAAAGAAGUCCCUGCUCUGCGCCCACAUCUGAGGCAGCAGAUUGGGUUGCCGAGAGAUUUGCAUAGCUGGAAUCCCCAGAGCUCUUUGCAGUUGAUGUCAGACCCGCUGCUCUCUUUGUUUGUACCCUCAUCUGAAGUUUCACAUUUGUUUAAAGAAAGGGGAUUUCUCUACAGCUCUAUGAAUACACAUCGGCUAUUUUUUUUUUUCUUCCCUUGAAGCACAGUUUCCGAGGCGAUUCAGGCUGGUUCCUGAGCCAGCGCUCCUGAUUGUGCACACAGCUGUGGCUACGAGGCCAGGUCACUGCGAGAGCUUCACAGUCCCAUGUGUCCUCACCACGAGCCUGGAGCUAUUUUCUGCACAAGAAGACCACAGCACUUCUUCUCCUGGUUUCAUGGGCACUGCAAACACUGCUGUCCUUUCGGGUGGCUGAGGAAGCGCAGUCCAUCCUCUUCCUGACCGCAGAAGCCUUUUCUGGGGUGCAGGGAAGAGGAACCCAUCCCUCUUCUGCAAACCAACAGGAACAGCCCAAGGAAGACACAGCUGGGAGGAUGUAGUCCAGCGUGGGCAACUGCAGGAAGGCAUUUGCAUCUUGCAUUAGCCGUGUCCUGCCCUUCGCACAGCCCCUGCGCAACCAAGAGGGGAAUUCUCUGCCUGGGGAGAGCGAGGAAGCACCGAGCCCUGGCAAGGAGGCACCUCUGCUAAACAGGGAUGGCUCAGGGCAUGCCCUGUCCUCCCCUCUGAGACCACCUGCAAGCACCUUUACCUCCAACUGCACACGUACCUGUGGGUACCAGACCUUCGGUUUGCAUGCGGUGGGGAUGGUGGAUUCUGAGACCUGAAGAUGCAACAGAAGUCAAAAUUUUUUUCCUAUGAGGGUGGGGAGGCCCUGGCCCAGGUUGCCCAGAGCAGUGGUGGCUGCCCCAUCCCUGGAGGGGUUCCAGGCCAGGUUGGAUGGGGCUCGGAGCCCCUGAUCCAGUGGGAGGUGUCCCUGCCCAUGGCAGGGGGUGGGGCUGGGUGGGCUUUGAGGUCUCUUCUAACCCAAACCAUUCUGUGAUGAUUCUAUGAUUUUGGGAGCCAAUCUAAAAUGCUUCCAGAGCUUUAAAAAGAGUAAGACCUGCUGAAGCAGAUCAGGCAGUGCUUUUAAGGGCUUUCCAAGUGAUGUGAGGCCCAGAGGUCCACGGUCAAUGGCAGAAAGUCCACAGCAGAUCUUAUAAAAACUAUAAACCAUGUGGCCAGGUGUACGGUCAGUGAUGGACUGGGAAGGAGUUUUAAACAAAAACAAACACCACGAGAUGAGCGCAAGCUGGUGGUGGUGUAGAAAGCAGGGUGGACAGUCCUGGACUGUGUUUGCAUCAUUAUUAAGGAAAGAAUGGAACUUUUCUCAUGCCUUUGCUGGGAAAUCUCUUCCAAAACCAGACUGAUAAUAAUCCAGGGAGCCAUUUCUGAGAAGGGAGCAGUCAGAAAUGGAAGUAUUUUUCUACAACCAAGUAAUCUUUCAGAGAUCUACUUUCUUAAGCACUGAAAGCCAGACAAAAAGGCUUUAGUUUAGGCCUCGCACAGCACAAAUGAGCAGAUUAAACUGAAGAGAUGGAUUUGUUCCCUGCAGCAAGUUAUGUUUGACAUUGAGUUGUGGUGGAAAAUGUUGCUCUUUUGACAUCAAUGCCUCAAAAUUCUGAAAAACGAGGAGGAAUUGCAUUCCUUCUAGCAGAUGUUGGCUCCAAAAUAUUUUAAUUCACAGAAAUUUCUCCAAAUUACAUUUUAAAUAGCUCUGAGCUGUUUGAUAAUGAAACCAGUGCUUUCAAAAGUGCAGAAGAUAUUUCGGCACUGUGGCUCUGGGCCAGGAGCAGUCGGCAGCACGAGAUGCUCGCUGGAGAGGCAGCCAGACCCUUUGCACGGUGCUGAGCCGCCCCGGUCGCAAGAAGGACACGGCGUUCUCCGAUGCAGGCUGCUUUUGGGAUUCCUGGUUCUGCACACUUGUUCCUUUUUACUGUAUCAUUUCUGAUAUCGCUUCUAGCAGGUUAGUCACCAUUCUCAUUUGCACAUCGUGCCCUCUGCUGGGAAAGCAAUGGCUUAGGCCAACUGAAACAAAAAAUCUCCUGCUUGACUCUGACUUAGCAGAAGUCACGGCCGCUUCAGACCCAGUCCCACCUUUCUGUCCACCACACCAGACCCUUGCAUGCUGCAACUAUGCCAAAUAAACCCUCUGGAACUGAUUAUCCCCUCCCUUUCCCUAAGGAUUAUUGGAGUUAGGGCAAGCAAUUACACUUCUACAGAGCUAAAGAAGAAAUCGCUCCAGGUCUGGCCCUGCUGCAGGUUCCUGCUCGUCAUAACAGCACGACAAUAUGUUCAUAACUGAAGAUGAAAAGUGAAUGCUCAGGGUGUGAGUGUGAGCUCGUGCAGGCAGGGGUCAGAACGGGGCUCUUGCCGCACCCCACAGAUCUUGCGUUUUUGCAAGGGAUGCUGCUGUAAGUGAAAUCAUGCACAACGUGGGUCGCACAGUCGGGGCAGGGACUGCGCAAAGCUCCCUCGAUGACAUAUGGUUUUCAAUUUAACAGGAGCUUACCGGGGUAUCAGGUGACACCGUGACUCAAAAGUCACCCCACGGCUUGACAUCUGCAAGAAAAAGUGCUCAAUUCCAGCCCCUGACCCAGUACUCCCGAAAUCCUGGACAUAUAUCUUACUAUAGAAUCAAGGGAAAACCAUAUUGCAGCUACAGAUGAGGCACCAGGAGCCAUACCGAGGGAGUCAAGCAGUGCAUUCAGGCACACGAGGCUGUGAGGAUGCAACAGGGAUGGGAAGGACCGCAAUCCAUCCAAGCAGAAGGGGAUGAGCUCUGCUUGCUGGUUGAAUGGGUGUAAACUCCCUCCACGUUAAUCAUGACAUACAAGAUACGCUCUGAUAAUGAACAACUGGCCAGAACUCACUGGAAAGCCUCACCGAUUGAAUGUGCCAAAAAGCAGCUCUUCCGGAGCCCCUGACCGCAACGCACCCUCUGCGGGAAGCUCGCAGCCCGUGACACGGUGAGCUGCGUUGCCACAGCUUACAGGACCUCCAAGCGAGCCCCAAAAUAGAGGAACUGAUGGUAGAACUUCCUUAACGUCUCCUGGUUACUUCUCUGUAUUUACUUUCCCUUGCAGCCCAGGAUGAGCCCCACAGCCGGAUCACCAGGAAACCCCAGAAAGAGGUCCUGCAUGUCACCCGUUUCAAUGGCAGCCAAACUGCGAUGGAGAGGUGAUGCUGAUGAAGGAGCCCUUACUGACACGGCUUCAAGGGUUGCUCUGGGCCACAGGAACAGGUUUAACAGCAGGUCCCAGAGCAGCUGUGCCCGAGCAAGCUUUGCCCCCUCGCACUGCCCUUGGUGCCCCGGGCAGGGAGGCUCCACUUGCCGAGGGUCCUGCCUGUUAGAGGAAAAAUCCAGCAGCUCAACGUGACCCAGGCUCUCACCCCUGUCCACCUGGCAAUGAAAACACAUUACCAUUCCAAAAAGCAGGACAGCUUUAUAAUACAUUAUUCGUUUGCCUUGCCCACCUGUUUGGUUGAGAGGGACAAAGUGUAAUUAAGCUUAAUUCGAGAGCUUUGAGGAUGAAGAUGGGGAUGCUGUGCACUUGCUCCUGUCAGUUCUUACAUGGUGGUAGAAUGCGUAUAAAAACAAUAAAUAGCACAUAUGAAAUAAUAAAAUGUUUAGGUCCAUGGCUUCACAUCCCCACUGCAGCGCAUUGGGAGGGACAGAGAUGAGCGCUUCCCUGAGCAGUGCAGCACUGCCCUGCCUGUUACCGACAAUUUAACUCACGGCACCGAUCCAUGGAGCCCAGCCUGUGACAAAGCCGAGCCCAUCUCCGUUCGCUGCUGCACCACACAAAUGAUUUAUAACAUUUAAAACUGGAGAUGGGACAGACUAUAGACUGCAAUUCCUCUUUUUCCUCCCUCUGAUCUCUGUAUAUUCCUGAAAUUAGGCUGGACAGGCACCCAAACCAGCAGCAUGUGUUUCUCCUUUCAG